GCUUUGAUUUUCAGAUGAGGUGAGCGCACUCCUGCGAGUAUAUAAUCCGCAAUCCUCUAGGUGAGGUAAUUCCUUUUGUCAAGGUCAAGGUCCGGUACGUGUCUUUGGUUAGGCUUAAAGGGAGGAGCUGUUGUUUCAUUUCAUUUUCUCGGCGAUCCUCUGGGUGAGAUGAGGUGAUCAGACUCCUGCGAAUAUAUAAUUCGCCUUCCUCUGGGUGAGGUAAAUCCGUUUAUGAAGGUCAUGGUCAGGUGCAUGUCUUUAGUUGGUCUUUAAAAGAGAGGAGCCAGUGUCUCCGUUUCUCUACGAUUUCUGGGUGAGACGAGAUGAUCGCACUCCUGCGAGUAUAUAAUUCGCAAUCCUCCAGGUGAGGUAGAUCCAUUUGUCAGGGUCAAGGUCAGGUGCAUACCUUUAGUUAGUCUUAAAAGGGGGAAGCCACUGUCUCAGUUUCUCUACGAUUUUCUGGGUAAGAUGAGGUGAUCGCACUCCUGCAAAUAUUUAGUUCACAAUCCUUUAGGUGAGGUGAGGUAAAUUCAUUCACCGAGGUCAAGGUCAGGUGCAUACCUUUGGUUAGGUUUAAGAAAGGAGGAGCCGCUGUCCCGAUUUCUCCACGAUCCUUUAGGUGGGGUAAAACCCGUUCACCAAGAUGUUAAGGUCAGGUGCGCACCUUUGGUUAGGCGUGAGAGGAAGAAGCCGCUGUCUCAGUUUCUCCACGAUCCUUUAGGUGAGGUAAGAUCAUUCACCAAGGUCAAGGUCAGGUGGGGUAAAAUCAUUCACCGGGGUCAAGGUCAGGUGCGCUCCUUUGGUUAGGCUUAAAGGGGAGAAGCCUCUGUCUCGAUUUC